CCGAGACUCAGUGAAAUUGAACUCGCUGUGAAGAUGCAGUGUACCCGCGGCAAGACGGAAAGACCCCGUGAACCUUUACUAUAGCUUGACACUGAACAUUGAGCCUUGAUGUGUAGGAUAGGUGGGAGGCUUUGAAGUGUGGACGCCAGUCUGCAUGGAGCCGACCUUGAAAUACCACCCUUUAAUGUUUGAUGUUCUAACGUGGACCCGUUACCCGGGUUGCGGACAGUGUCUGGUGGGUAGUUUGACUGGGGCGGUCUCCUCCUAAAGAGUAACGGAGGAGCACGAAGGUUGGCUAAUCCUGGUCGGACAUCAGGAGGUUAGUGCAAUGGCAUAAGCCAGCUUGACUGCGAGCGUGACGGCGCGAGCAGGUGCGAAAGCAGGUCAUAGUGAUCCGGUGGUUCUGAAUGGAAGGGCCAUCGCUCAACGGAUAAAAGGUACUCCGGGGAUAACAGGCUGAUACCGCCCAAGAGUUCAUAUCGACGGCGGUGUUUGGCACCUCGAUGUCGGCUCAUCACAUCCUGGGGCUGAAGUAGGUCCCAAGGGUAUGGCUGUUCGCCAUUUAAAGUGGUACGCGAGCUGGGUUUAGAACGUCGUGAGACAGUUCGGUCCCUAUCUGCCGUGGGCGCUGGAGAACUGAGGGGGGCUGCUCCUAGUACGAGAGGACCGGAGUGGACGCAUCACUGGUGUUCGGGUUGUCAUGCCAAUGGCACUGCCCGGUAGCUAAAUGCGGAAGAGAUAAGUGCUGAAAGCAUCUAAGCACGAAACUUGCCCCGA
rnacentral:rRNA from 1 species